AGAGUUUGAUCCUGGCUCAGAACGAACGCUGGCGGCGUGGAUAAGACAUGCAAGUCGAACGAGAGAAUUGCUAGCUUGCUAAUAAUUCUCUAGUGGCGCACGGGUGAGUAACACGUGAGUAACCUGCCCCCGAGAGCGGGAUAGCCCUGGGGAACUGGGAUUAAUACCGCAUAGUAUCGAAAGAUUAAAGCAGCAAUGCGCUUGGGGAUGGGCUCGCGGCCUAUUAGUUAGUUGGUGAGGUAACGGCUCACCAAGGCGAUGACGGGUAGCCGGUCUGAGAGGAUGUCCGGCCACACUGGAACUGAGACACGGUCCAGACACCUACGGGUGGCAGCAGUCGAGAAUCAUUCACAAUGGGGGAAACCCUGAUGGUGCGACGCCGCGUGGGGGAAUGAAGGUCUUCGGAUUGUAAACCCCUGUCAUGUGGGAGCAAAUUAAAAAGAUAGUACCACAAGAGGAAGAGACGGCUAACUCUGUGCCAGCAGCCGCGGUAAUACAGAGGUCUCAAGCGUUGUUCGGAAUCACUGGGCGUAAAGCGUGCGUAGGCUGUUUCGUAAGUCGUGUGUGAAAGGCGCGGGCUCAACCCGCGGACGGCACAUGAUACUGCGAGACUAGAGUAAUGGAGGGGGAACCGGAAUUCUCGGUGUAGCAGUGAAAUGCGUAGAUAUCGAGAGGAACACUCGUGGCGAAGGCGGGUUCCUGGACAUUAACUGACGCUGAGGCACGAAGGCCAGGGGAGCGAAAGGGAUUAGAUACCCCUGUAGUCCUGGCAGUAAACGGUGCACGCUUGGUGUGCGGGGAAUCGACCCCCUGCGUGCCGGAGCUAACGCGUUAAGCGUGCCGCCUGGGGAGUACGGUCGCAAGAUUAAAACUCAAAGAAAUUGACGGGGACCCGCACAAGCGGUGGAGUAUGUGGCUUAAUUCGAUGCAACGCGAAGAACCUUACCUGGGCUUGACAUGUAAUGAACAACAUGUGAAAGCAUGCGACUCUUCGGAGGCGUUACACAGGUGCUGCAUGGCCGUCGUCAGCUCGUGUCGUGAGAUGUUUGGUUAAGUCCAGCAACGAGCGCAACCCCUGUUGCCAGUUACCAGCACGUGAAGGUGGGGACUCUGGCGAGACUGCCCAGAUCAACUGGGAGGAAGGUGGGGACGACGUCAGGUCAGUAUGGCCCUUAUGCCCAGGGCUGCACACGUACUACAAUGCCCAGUACAGAGGGGGCCGAAGCCGCGAGGCGGAGGAAAUCCUAAAAACUGGGCCCAGUUCGGACUGUAGGCUGCAACCCGCCUACACGAAGCCGGAAUCGCUAGUAAUGGCGCAUCAGCUACGGCGCCGUGAAUACGUUCCCGGGUCUUGCACUCACCGCCCGUCA
rnacentral:rRNA from 1 species